CCUGGUUGAUUCUGCCAGUAGUCAUAUGCUUUUAUAGAGAGAUUAAGCCAUGCAUGUCUAAGUAUAAGCAACUUUCUACUGUGAAACUGCGAAUGGCUCAUUAAAUCAGUUAUAGUUUAUUUGAUGGUUUUUGCUACAUGGAUAACUGUGGUAAUUCUAGAGCUAAUACAUGCAUUCAAGCCCCGACUUCCGGAAGGGGUGUAUUUAUUAGAUAAAAAUCAACUUUGUUGGUGAAUCAUAAUAACUUUUCGGACCGCAUGGCCUCGUGCUGGCGGUGCUUCAUUCAAAUAUCUGCCCUAUCAACUGUCGAUGGUAGGAUAGAGGCCUACCAUGGUUGCAACGGGUAACGGGGAAUAAGGGUUCGAUUCCGGAGAGGGAGCCUGAGAAACGGCUACCACAUCCAAGGAAGGCAGCAGGCGCGCAAAUUACCCAAUCCCAACACGGGGAGGUAGUGACAAUAUGUAACAAUAUACGGCCUUAUACGUCGUAUAAUUGGAAUGAGUACAAUUUAAAUCCCUUAACGAGGAACAAUUGGAGGGCAAGUCUGGUGCCAGCAGCCGCGGUAAUUCCAGCUCCAAUAGCGUAUAUUAAAGUUGUUGCAGUUAAAAAGCUCGUAGUUGGACCUUGGACCUGGACAGGCGGUCCGCCUCACGGCGAGUACUGUCUUGCUGGGUCUUUCCUCUUGGUGAUCUGUUGUUUCGGCAGCAGGGAACCAGGACUUUUACUUUGAAAAAAUUAGAGUGUUCAAAGCAGGCUCGACGCCGGAAUAUAUUAGCAUGGAAUAAUAAAAUAGGACGUGCGGUUCUAUUUUGUUGGUUUUUGGAAUCGCCGUAAUGAUUAAUAGGGACAGUCGGGGGCAUUAGUACU
rnacentral:rRNA from 1 species